GGAGAGCUGUAGCUCAGAGGCAAAGCAUCUGGCUUUGCAUGCAGAAGGUCUCUGGGUUCAAUCCCUGCCAUCUCCC